AUUGAACGCUGGCGGCAUGCCUUACACAUGCAAGUCGAACGGUAACGGGUCCUUCGGGAUGCCGACGAGUGGCGAACGGGUGAGUAAUAUAUCGGAACGUGCCCAGUAGUGGGGGAUAACUGCUCGAAAGAGCAGCUAAUACCGCAUACGACCUGAGGGUGAAAGGGGGGGAUCGCAAGACCUCUCGCUAUUGGAGCGGCCGAUAUCAGAUUAGCUAGUUGGUGGGGUAAAGGCCUACCAAGGCAACGAUCUGUAGUUGGUCUGAGAGGACGACCAGCCACACUGGGACUGAGACACGGCCCAGACUCCUACGGGAGGCAGCAGUGGGGAAUUUUGGACAAUGGGCGCAAGCCUGAUCCAGCAAUGCCGCGUGCAGGAAGAAGGCCUUCGGGUUGAAAACUGCUUUUGUCAGGGAAGAAAUCUUCUGGGCUAAUACCCCGGGAGGAUGACGGUACCUGAAGAAUAAGCACCGGCUAACUACGUG
rnacentral:rRNA from 1 species